rnacentral:rRNA from 1 species
CCUACGGGAGGCAGCAGUGAGGAAUAUUGGUCAAUGGGCGAGAGCCUGAACCAGCGACGUCGCGUGGAGGAUGAAGGAUCUAUGGUUGGUAAACUUCUUUGAUAUGGGAAUAAAGUGAGGAACGUGUUCCUUUUGGUCUGUACCAUAUGAAUACGCAUCGGCUAACUCCGUGCCAGCAGCCGCGGUAAUACGGAGUAUGCGGGCGUUAUCCGGAUUUAUUGGGUGUAAAGGGUGCGUAGUGGGUUCAUUAAGUCAGCGGUGAAAGUUUGUGGCUCAACCAUAAAAUUGCCGUUGAAACUGGUUGACUUGAGUAUAUGUGAGGUAGGCGGAAUGCGUGGUGUAGCGGUGAAAUGCAUAGAUAUCACGCAGAACUCCGAUGGCGAAGGCAGCUUACUAAACUAUAACUGACACUGAAGCACGAAAGCGUGGGGAUCAAACAGGAUUAGAUACCCGGGUAGUC